rnacentral:rRNA from 1 species
UACAGAGGGUGCAAGCGUUACUCGGAAUUACUGGGCGUAAAGCGUGCGUAGGUGGUUUGUUAAGUCUGAUGUGAAAGCCCUGGGCUCAACCUGGGAAUUGCAUUGGAUACUGGCAGGCUAGAGUGCGGUAGAGGGUAGUGGAAUUCCCGGUGUAGCAGUGAAAUGCGUAGAGAUCGGGAGGAACAUCCGUGGCGAAGGCGACUACCUGGACCAGCACUGACACUGAGGCACGAAAGCGUGGGGAGCAAACAGG